UCAUACCCAGCAGUUCAGAAAGUCUUCGAAGAGUUAUUCUGAAAAUAUGCCAGACAGUGUGAGACAAAAAAAAGAGUGUGUGCAUGUUUGCAUAGAGUGGGCAAAUGUGCAUCUGCAGAGAAUCACAAAACAGCAAGCAAGCACAGCUCUCAGCAGCCAGUCUGCUGGACUACACAGACUGAAAUGAAUGGCAGUUACGAUUUAAGAUAUGUCAGAGUUCCAGUACCCAACUCAGAUUUUCCAGAGCGAGGAAUUUACGCUAAAUUACACUAAUAAAAUACCAAAUGUAGUAACAUUAAAACUAAA